CCAAGAUCUACAACUGUCGGGAUCAUUAUCCUGUAUAUACUUUUAAUGUUGCCGUUCAGGAUAAGUUAAAUAUAAUACUAGCUUCGGGUCAACAUCCAUUCAAUGGAUUUCAGUUUUGUUUCACGAUUUCCACAGAACCAGUAGUUGUUAUUAUUGGUGGGUCUGUUGGAGGACUAGGUGUAAUAAUCGUCAUCAUUAUCAUAAUUGUGUGUGUAAUACGUAAGAAGAACGGGGACAAUAUUUAUGACAGUCCAGAAGCUGUAGAGACUGAUCCUCAUCCUUACCAGAGCAUUCACAGAUAAACGAUCAGGAGAGAUAACUCAGACAGAUAAACGGAAAAAUGAAAUGGUGGUUUAUCAGUAUAAUGAUUCAUAUACCAGUUUUGAUAAUGAUGUAACAAGCCAACAGCGAGGCUGAUGUCCCCCGCUACAAUCUCAAAAUAAAUAGAUAAUACGUAUUAACUAAUUGCACAUUUAUCUUUUUGACAAGUAUCGAGCAAUCAAACUGAUUAUCUAUACUUAGUCUAAACCGAAAAUGUUCACAAUCAAACUCAGUCAAGGUUUUGAAGUACCUGGUAGUUUCAUUCCUCUCCAUCAGUUAGAAUCAAGGCUAUCUUGCCCCAAAGCAUCGACUAAUGAAAUUGCUUAGCUCUGCUUAGCGUUAGCGGCAAAUGUUAAUCAAUGUACUUAGUCAAGACAUUCACCUAAUGAACAUUUAAAAAUUCUACCUCAAUUAAAAGCAGAGUUGUUAUGUUCAAAGUUUUAACCAAUCAAAUUGCUUUUCGGUGCUUAGCCUAAGCGAAAAUUUUUAUCAUGGAACUUAAUGAUAUAAUGAAUCUAUACUCCGAGUUUCAUCACUCUCGUCCAAUUCGAAAGGAACCACAUAUAAUAAACCAAGAUGUCA